GUUAACAUCUGGCUGUUUUAUUCUCCUUCCAAUAUCACAAAACAGCCCUAGGCCUCAAGUCACCGGCUGGGUUCAAUCGAGCAAGCAGAUCCUCUGUUUUCAAAGCUACACUAGGCACCAGGAGCAGAUUGGUGACUCUGGCACAAUAUCUAUUAAUAAAUAAAAGCAUCAGGCUUUGCAUUUGAAUAGGCCUUUUUCUUUGGCAGAUCACAAAGUAAUUUCUAAAGAAGGGCAAGCAUUAUUAUCUCCGUUAUGGGGCUAUGUUAUAUGACAAGCUCUCAGUUGGGGACUGGGCAAGAACUUGUCUCUCCAACAAGGAACAGCUGCUCCCCUUGGUUAAAUGCCACACACCAGCAGUCCUGAAAGCUUUCAGGCUCUGGCCAAGCACAGAGAGUGCUUCAGCCAGAUGGGCAAGAGCAACUGCUGGAAGGCUGGUCCUGUUACCCAGUUUGCUACAGGCUUUAGGAUGUUUCUACAAUGCUUGAAAAUAUGGUAUCCUUGCAAAAAGACUACCCUGCAGGUGGCCUGAUUACCUUGCAUUCUUCACAUUUAUAACACAUUUAUACACAUCACAGCUGAUGUUUUAGCCAUUGGGUCAUGUUAUAUGUUAAACUAAGGACUUAUCAAAGUCCUUUUUGAUUCUUAAUCAAGACAUCAAGUUGCCUUCUCUCCCAGAUUCUUUUGCAAAAUAUAAAUAAUGUGUACUUCCAGUUAAUAGUUCAUUAGAUUACUUUGAAACUUACACAUUAACUUGGUCUUUUAGCUAGUGAGCCAGAGCAAUACAAUCUAUGGUUUGCAGACCACAGCAUGGAGUUGUAUGAGCAUCCAUUAGCAAAGAGAAGAGCUGCUUCCCAGCACAGAGGUGGUUAAGAAGUUUCACGUGCACAACAUGAACACAUACACACAACAAAACCAGGCUCCUGCUGUCGGAUACUGGCAUUCGUUGUCUCUGACAGCUGCUCUGAACCAGAUGGGAAACAGCUAUUCCAGUUCUGCUGUAAGCCACAUCCCAACACCAGCAUCACUGCAGACUCCCAGGCUGGCAUCUCAACUGAAAAGAAGCACGGCAAGUGAGUAAAGAAGCCAAAUCCCCCUUUCCCUGAGCCAGUGUCAUCUCUCCAGGAAAAAACUGAGGCAUAUUUGGUGGGGAGAGGAAAGAAGCAGAGAAGUAGGUUUUAGAUGCUGCACUUGGAAAGAUAUUGACCACAUUUGUUCUGAACACAGGGAAUGUCUGGGUCCAGUGCUGACAAUCUGGCAGUGGCUGAAUGCUGUGGAGUUCACUCAGACGUGAUAAACAGAAGGAGAAAAAAAAGUAACAAGUCAUCACUGACAGCAGUAGUGUCCAACCCGUGAGUCAAGCCCUCUUAGUGAGGCAUGACAGCAUGAAAGAUAAGAUAUAGAAGAGAGAGCAGAGGUACUGCUGACACUGAAGAACAGAAGAGAGAGAAUUGUUAGGUUAUGUUUCUUCACUUUCGUUUUUUCACUCUCAGGUCCAACUCUAAGAGCAGAAGAUUGAGCUGCUCAGUAGGAAGGAAAUAUAGUGCUAUAGAUCUCUGAAGACAGGGACACUGAGGAAUCAUGGGUCAUGGGAUAUUGGAGGAGGGGAGGAACAAAAAGUAUAAUGAAAAGCUAUAGCUGUAAGGCAGGUCUAACAUCAAUCAACCAUUACUGCCCUGGAAAAAAGUAAUAACCUGAAGCAUUUCUACAUUUACAAUAGUAAAUGAAUACAGUCUUAUUAAAACAGUUGGAUUCAGCUCCACCCAAGUCCAGUGACAUUCUAAAAAAAAAAAUAAAAUAAAGUAAGAUUAAUAAAUUCUCA
ensembl:lncRNA